CUGAUCACGUACGAUCACCGAAGUUAAACAACGUCGAGACUGGUCAGUACCUAGACGGAUGACCGCUUGGGAAUACCAGGUACUGUAUGC